CAAUUUAGUGUGCAGCGCUGGGAGAAAAGGAAAAGAAAAUCUAGCCCUGCACGCUUCGUCCCCAAUCUGUCGAUCCCCUCUCCGCUCGCCUCCUCCUCUCCCGGGUCGCUGCGCCGCCGGCUCAGCCGCUUCUCCUGCGCCUUCUCCUCCUCGCUCCUCUCCUCAUAGAUGAGUCCUCGACCAGAUCGGCGUCCAGCGCAGGAGGAUCUGGAUGGUCGUGGUGGUGGCAUAUUCAGCGGCGUCGCCGGACGAGCUCCAGGCGCGGGGGAGAUAUCUCCACGGGCCCGCGCAACCACGUCCCCUCGCUGACGUCGGCAUGUAGUCCGCCCAAGCCGCCGAGGAGAGGGAGCAGCCGCGCCCGGUGGAGGUCGUCCCCAACGUCUGUAUAAUCCAGUCCGGAUUUGUGGAGAGCCCGGCGCAGCACUGUCUACAGGAGCCCAAGCAGCACCAGGCACAUUUGAGUUUCCUCUCCCAAUGCCAGCAAGUCCAUCAUCUGCUCCUCUUACGUUAACACGCACAGGACUAAACAUACCAUUCCCAUCGCCUUGGGCAUCUGCAAGGCAGAUACUACCUUCAGUUCCUGAAGCACUUGUCCUAUCAUGCUCCUGCCUGUAGUCACAAGAAUUACUUGUAAGGUAACAGUUUCUGCAAGUAUCAGGAACUAUUGCUUGCACUCUGUGGCACAGGAGCAUCUGCAUUAACAAAUCGGCAAAGUUUCUGAGAUGGUCUUACAGGGAAAAAAGCAUUUAUAGGGGAAAAAGCCCAUUUUACAGGGAUAGACUAACCUGAAGCCAAAGACCAUCAUUUAUAGCUUUGCAAGGAAAUUCAAAUUCUUCAAGUUGCUUUCGAACACUUAACAGUGCAUCAAAUGACAUAUUGUAAUAGAGAAGAGAACACCUUUCAAAUAUAUUCAUGGAAGUAUUAUGCUUGAUGGAGCAGGGCCGGAGCUUCAAUGACGAAUCCACUAUUCGCAGACAGCCCAACUCGACAGGCACGAGCCAUGUCGACAGUCGAGGUGGCACUCGGGGGCAUGCUCGCCUCGGCAGUCAUCAAGGUGGCGAGAUCAAUUCUACCAUUUCAGGCAAGAUCAAGCUGCACAGGAAACUGAGGAACGAUCUGGAGAACAUGAAGAUGAUGCCAGAGUCGGUGGAGGUUGUGCUCGGCAACGUUGAGAGGGAGUCUAUCAAGCAUAAGUCCAUGCUUCUGUGGCUGAAUCGGCUUAAGGAUGCUGCGAACGACAUCUCCGACAUGCUUGAAGAUUUUGAAGAUGAAACCGACUUCAACCUGCUAUGCAAGAUUCUGUCAAUUUGGUCACUAUCAAUCUUGAUCUGAAUGAUGUUGUUUAAUAAUAGAUGAAUAUUUUUAGAUAAUGAACUACAUCUAAAACUUUUUUAUGUAGUGAAGUAGAUCUGAACCUCACUGUUGGAGUUGAUCUUUGAGUCGAUGUUAAGUAAAAGCUACUUCUGCUUGUUGAUGCAAGACCACCUUUAGAUUCGAAAAUGUCCCUGCCUUCUUUUGUUUGACCAAUAGUAAGCUAUGUCCACAAAUACCAUGAUUUUAUUGAGGGGAAAGUGAAGUAGAACUAGUCUGGUAUCCCAAGUGUAAUAUCAGUUUCUGCAUUGUUUUUCUCAACCACCUGAUUGAAACUAGUUUGUAAUGCCAUCUCCGCCCCUUUCAAGCCUUCCAUGGUACUGAUACACCGCAUUGUACCUCUUGCAGUGGGCAGCCACGAUGAAGAAGAUUAAGAUGCCACGUAAGAUGAGAUCGAUGCAAAAGCGCCUACAAAAGAUGGACUGUGAUAGUUAUGGUGUUCAGCCAGAAAUUCACUGCAAGGAGCGGCAAGUUCUUGACAUCCAGGAAACAGCAGGAUAUGUGGAGGAGGCAGAAAUCAUCCGCAGGACUGAUGAUGAAAGGAAAAUCUUGGAUUGCAUAUCUGGGAGCAAUAGUUAUUUCCCCCUGCUUUUGAUUACAGUGAUUGGAGUCAGUAGGUAGUGAUUAGAGUCAGUAGGUAAUACAGGACAUGGUAAAUUUCAUUGGAAUAUAACUUGCAAGUUGAUGGGUUCAGAACCUUUGUGCUGUGAAAAAGAGUUACAUUCUUCUGAUUAUGCCACUGGACUAUGGCCAUUUUCCCUUCAAAUUAGCUAGGAAUCUGUCUAUUUAGGCAGUGUAUGGAGCCGUAUAGAAUGGACAGUAAUUAUGUAUAGUAUUUCUUCGAAAACCAGAAUUGGCUCAAUUUGGAAGAAUGGCUGCUUUA